rnacentral:rRNA from 1 species
UACGUAGGUGGCAAGCGUUGUCCGGAUUUACUGGGCGUAAAGAGCGCGCAGGCGGUCGUUCAAGUCGAGUGUGAAAGCCCCCGGCUCAACUGGGGAGGGUCACUCGAUACUGAUCGACUCGAAGGCAGAAGAGGGAAGCGGAAUUCCCGGUGUAGUGGUGAAAUGCGUAGAUAUCGGGAGGAACACCAGUGGCGAAGGCGGCUUUCUGGUCUGCUCUUGACGCUGAGGCGCGAAAGCUAGGGGAGCAAACAGG